rnacentral:rRNA from 1 species
UACGGAGGGGGGCUAGCGUUGUUCGGAAUUACUGGGCGUAAAGCGCACGUAGGCGGACUGUUAAGUCGGGGGUGAAAUCCUGGGGCUCAACCUCAGAAUUGCCUCCGAUACUGGCAGUCUCGAGUGCGGGAGAGGUGAGUGGAAUUCCCAGUGUAGAGGUGAAAUUCGUAGAUAUUGGGAAGAACACCAGUGGCGAAGGCGGCUCGCUGGCCCGUAACUGACGCUGAGGUGCGAAAGCGUGGGGAGCAAACAGG